rnacentral:rRNA from 1 species
CCUGGCUCAGAUUGAACGCUGGCGGCAUGCCUAACACAUGCAAGUCGAACGGCAGCACGGCAGUAGCAAUACUGUGGUGGCGAGUGGCGACGGGUGAGGAAUACGUCGGAAUCUGCCCAAUCGUGGGGGAUAACUAACCGAAAGGUUAGCUAAUACCGCAUACGACCGAGAGGUGAAAGCGGGGGACCGCAAGGGCCUCGCGCGAUUGGAUGAGCCGACGUCGGAUUAGCUUGUUGGUGGGGUAAAGGCCUACCAAGGCAACGAUCCGUAGCUGGUCUGAGAGGAUGAUCAGCCACACUGGAACUGAGACACGGUCCAGACUCCUACGGGAGGCAGCAGUGGGGAAUAUUGGACAAUGGGCGGAAGCCUGAUCCAGCAAUGCCGCGUGUGUGAAGAAGGCCUUCGGGUUGUAAAGCACUUUUAUCAGGAACGAAAAGCGUUGGAUUAAUACUCUGACGUGCUGACGGUACCUGAGGAAUAAGCACCGGCUAACUUCGUG